GGGCAGCGUUGAAGCGUUCCUCCAGGAGCCCUUACUGCAAUGUGCUCGCUUUCAAGGAGUCGUCCUUUGCUCACAGCUAGCUGGCAGUAGCAGCUAACAUUGCUAUUUGACAGUGAAUGACACUUGAUUGGAAACAAACUUGUUACACUUUGUCUGCUUCUUUUUCUGCAGUAAUGCCAACAAGAAUAACACCCAGGUUAUCAUCUGGACUCUGAAUCAAGUUUGUCCUCCACUUCCUGUUACGAAGACAUGUGCCCUCCUCGCAGUCUCCACCCGCCCACCACGUCCCAGGGGGGACAUCAAACGCUGCUGCUGAGGUAGACGUCUUCAAACACUGCGCUCAUUAAGCUGAGGUGAUGUCUUCAUUGCUGUAAUCGCAUUACUUUGCGACUGGAGGAACACGCACGCACACACAUAGUUGAGUCAGACGUGCACAGAUGGACACAUACAGCAUCAGAUGUGGCUUGAGGGUGAGGAUGACGACGCUGACAGAGCGGGAUGAAGAAGAUGACGGGGGAGGAAGGUCAUGAUGGCGAGGAUGAUGAAGACGGUGAUGUCAUGCAGUCCUGACAACAGUGCCACCUUUGUCAUCCCUCCAUCCUGGGAGGGGGGCGGAGCUAUGAGGAUGAAAGCGCUGACUCAGCAAGAAGAAUUGAAAAAAAAACAACAACAACAAAAAACAAAGAAAAGAGAAGCGACGCAAAGCCCCGCAGGGGUGACGUCGGACGCCGUUUAAUGAGAGAAGGAUGGAGAGUUGAGCAGCUGCUGCUCCAUGACUCCACAGCCCAGCACCUCCAUCCAGUCGCCCUGGAAACGCACUUCCAUCUCAAAGGAAGGAUGAGUGAAGGGGAAGUAACAGUCCACCCAGCGCACCUCCACAUCUGAGGAGGAAGCGGUGGAAGUCAGCCAUGGCGACUCUUUGAAGGCGCCCCCUGCCAGCCGACCUUUUCCAAACAGGUGGGUGACGAGUCGCGUCAGCGUGCGCUUCAGGUCGAACUCCACCAGCUUGACGGCCUCCAGGGUGUGCGUUUCCUGUUUCUGUGGCGUCCUGCGGCCGGCGACCUCAAACAUCUGGAGGUCUUUGCCAUUCUGAACCUUGGAGAAGAGCUGUGUGCAAAAGUCGCACAACACUCAGCGGGAAAGUUAAUUUAAGGUCAGUGUGAGUUGUCCCCCCUUAUCAUUACAAAUAUUAAACCGGCAUUGCUAUUUUUUUGUGCUGCAAAAAUGUUUGGUCUAAUAUUGUAGUUCUUAUGUCAUGAGGCUGGUUAUGAUUAAUAUCAUGUUAAAAAUAAACACUAUAGCAGGGGUCACCAACCUUUUUUCAGUGAUGUACCCCCUGUGAACAUUUUUUUUUAAUACAAGUACCCCCUAAUCAGAGCAAAGCAUUUUUGGUUGAAAAAAAGAGAUAAAGAAUUAAAAUACAGCACUAUGUCAUCGGUUUCUGAUUUAUUAAAAUGUAUAACAGUGCAAAAUAUUGCUCAUUUGUAGUGGUCUUUCUUGAACUAUUUGAGAAAACAGAUAUACAAAUAACUAAAAACUUGUUAAAAAAAUAAACGAUUGAUUCAAUUAUAAAUAAAGAUUUCUACACACAGAAGUAAUCAUCAACUUAAAGUGCCCUCUUUGGGGAUUGUAAUAGAGAUCCAUCUGGAUUCAUCAACUUCAUUCUAGACAUUUCUUCACAAAAAAAGAAAUCUUUAACAUCAAUAUUUAUGGAACAUGUCCACAAAAAAUCUAGCUGUCAACACUGAAUAUUGCAUUGUUGCAUUUCUUU